rnacentral:rRNA from 1 species
GACGAACGCUGGCGGCGCGCCUAACACAUGCAAGUCGAGCGGGAAGCUUUUUAAGGAUUCUUCGGAUGAAUUAAAAAGUGGAGAGCGGCGGACGGGUGAGUAACGCGUGAGAAACCUGCCCUAUACAGGGGGAUAGCCAUUGGAAACGAUGAUUAAUACCCCAUAUGACCACAGUAUCGCAUGAUACAGCGGUGAAAACUCCGGUGGUAUAGGAUGGUCUCGCGUCUGAUUUAGCUAGUUGUGGGGUAACGGCCUACCAAGGCGACGAUCAGUAGCCGGGCCUGAGAGGGUGACCGGCCACACUGGAACUGAGACCACGGUCCAGACUCCUACGGGAGGCAGCAGUGGGGAAUAUUGCACAAUGGGCAAAAGCCUGAUGCAGCGAACGCCGCGUGAACGAUGAAAGGC